ACGAACGCUGGCGGCGUGCCUAAUACAUGCAAGUCGAACGAACUCUGGUAUUGAUUGGUGCUUGCAUCAUGAUUUACAUUUGAGUGAGUGGCGAACUGGUGAGUAACACGUGGGAAACCUGCCCAGAAGCGGGGGAUAACACCUGGAAACAGAUGCUAAUACCGCAUAACAACUUGGACCGCAUGGUCCGAGUUUGAAAGAUGGCUUCAGCUAUCACUUUUGGAUGGUCCCGCGGCGUAUUAGCUAGAUGGUGGGGUAACGGCUCACCAUGGCAAUGAUACGUAGCCGACCUGAGAGGGUAAUCGGCCACAUUGGGACUGAGACACGGCCCAAACUCCUACGGGAGGCAGCAGUAGGGAAUCUUCCACAAUGGACGAAAGUCUGAUGGAGCAACGCCGCGUGAGUGAAGAAGGGUUUCGGCUCGUAAAACUCUGUUGUUAAAGAAGAACAUAUCUGAGAGUAACUGUUCAGGUAUUGACGGUAUUUAACCAGAAAGCCACGGCUAACUACGUGCCAGCAGCCGCGGUAAUACGUAGGUGGCAAGCGUUGUCCGGAUUUAUUGGGCGUAAAGCGAGCGCAGGCGGUUUUUUAAGUCUGAUGUGAAAGCCUUCGGCUCAACCGAAGAAGUGCAUCGGAAACUGGGAAACUUGAGUGCAGAAGAGGACAGUGGAACUCCAUGUGUAGCGGUGAAAUGCGUAGAUAUAUGGAAGAACACCAGUGGCGAAGGCGGCUGUCUGGUCUGUAACUGACGCUGAGGCUCGAAAGUAUGGGUAGCAAACAGGAUUAGAUACCCUGGUAGUCCAUACCGUAAACGAUGAAUGCUAAGUGUUGGAGGGUUUCCGCCCUUCAGUGCUGCAGCUAACGCAUUAAGCAUUCCGCCUGGGGAGUACGGCCGCAAGGCUGAAACUCAAAGGAAUUGACGGGGGCCCGCACAAGCGGUGGAGCAUGUGGUUUAAUUCGAAGCUACGCGAAGAACCUUACCAGGUCUUGACAUACUAUGCAAAUCUAAGAGAUUAGACGUUCCCUUCGGGGACAUGGAUACAGGUGGUGCAUGGUUGUCGUCAGCUCGUGUCGUGAGAUGUUGGGUUAAGUCCCGCAACGAGCGCAACCCUUAUUAUCAGUUGCCAGCAUUAAGUUGGGCACUCUGGUGAGACUGCCGGUGACAAACCGGAGGAAGGUGGGGAUGACGUCAAGUCAUCAUGGCCCUUACGAGUAGGGCUACACACGUGCUACAAUGGAUGGUACAACGAGUUGCGAACUCGCGAGAGUAAGCUAAUCUCUUAAAGCCAUUCUCAGUUCGGAUUGUAGGCUGCAACUCGCCUACAUGAAGUCGGAAUCGCUAGUAAUCGCGGAUCAGCAUGCCGCGGUGAAUACGUUCCCGGGCCUUGUACACACCGCCCGUCACACCAUGAGAGUUUGUAACACCCAAAGUCGGUGGGGUAACCUUUUAGGAACCAGCCGCCUAAGGUGGGACAGAUGAUUAGGGUG
rnacentral:rRNA from 1 species